GUCCAGAACACAAUGAUGUUUUAUUUCCAAGCACAUAUCUGAACCUUGUGUGUUGAAAACAAUAGCACUGAGUGCUCUGGAU